CACAAAAAAUAUGAAGGCUGCACGCCAGUUUUGGCGGAGGCUGAAUUAUUUUUCACCCAUGUCUUUUGCGCACUUGUUGUUUUCUGGGCGGGUUCGCCCGCCACCAGGACCACACCAUAAACCUUUUUUAUGCAGUUGCAAUCAGCGUCAGUAUAACAAAUGUAAAUCAUUUA
rnacentral:misc_RNA from 1 species